rnacentral:rRNA from 1 species
AGGCACGAAAGCGUGGGUAGCAAACAGGAUUAGAUACCCUGGUAGUCCACGCUGUAAACGAUGAUUACUAGGUGUGGGUGGACUGACCCCAUCCGUGCCGGAGUUAACACAAUAAGUAAUCCACCUGGGGAGUACGGCCGCAAGGCUGAAACUCAAAGGAAUUGACGGGGGCCCGCACAAGCAGUGGAGUAUGUGGAUUAAUUCGAUGCAACGCGAAGAACCUUACCAGGUCUUGACAUCCCGCUAACGAAGUAGAGAUACAUUAGGUGCCUUUCGGGGAAAGCGGAGACAGGUGGUGCAUGGUUGUCGUCAGCUCGUGUCGUGAGAUGUUGGGUUAAGUCCCGCAACGAGCGCAACCCUUACUGUUAGUUGCUACGCAAGAGUACUCUAGCAGGACCGCCGUUGACAAAACGGAGGAAGGUGGGGAUGAUGUCAAAUCAUCAUGCCCCUUAUGACCUGGGCCUCACACGUACUACAAUGGCCAUUAACAGAGGGAGGCAAAGCCGCGAGGCAGAGCAAAACCCUAAAAAUGGUCUCAGUUCGGAUCGUAGGCUGCAACCCGCCUGCGUGAAGUUGGAAUUGCUAGUAAUCGCGGAUCAGCAUGCCGCGGUGAAUACGUU